rnacentral:misc_RNA from 1 species
GUGAUUGGAUGGCACGUGCUUGCAGGCUCCUUGCUGUGUGCAUUGAACUGUUGGCGCACCGUCCCCUUCAAUAUCUCCCCGAGCGCAGAAAUUGUGCCUGUGGGUCCGGUUGGUAUCCUGUGUUGCUUACCCGCGUCUGGGAAUUGAUCGGUUUCGAUGCUCUCAUCUGCCUUACGCCUUCUGGGGUGUGGGGUGGACGCGAGGCGGGCUUCGUGCUCCUUGCGUGCUUCGUGCUGAGUUGCGUGGCUGUCUUGGCGCACGGAGUCUCUGCUCGUGCUCUUGGAUGCGGAACGUUUAUGCGUGGGCACGGGGCCUCGGCCCUGAUCCGCCCGAGCUUUUACGCAAAUGUCCAUUGACACGAAUGACCGCUGCUCCCGUCUCGAUUCUGCCGUGCGGGUCGUGCGGGUGUCGGCGUCACCGAGGAAUGCUACCUGGUUGAUCCUGCCAGUAGUCAUAUGCUUGUCUC